ensembl:lncRNA
CAGAAAUAUGCAUCAGAAGACCUAGUUUUAAUUAAAAUUCUUGCCCUCUAAUUCUGGCUCUAUUUAUUUAACAAGAAUCUCUUUCUUCCCAGCUGUUACUUAGCAAGCCAUGAUGCUCCAGAGUGUGAAUACCUGUCAAUUACACAGCAUUAGUCAGCCCCUCAAUGAGCGCACUGUGGAUGAUGAAAGCAGACAGGGAAGAAUGUGGGACAGGGUUGCCUCCAUUCAUAGACAUUACUCUUUGAAGCAUGAAGCAGCAUUUGAAAGAGCGGUGCUGCUGUCCCUACUCAUGCAGUGACUUACAAGGUCCAUCACAUCAUGCUGAAACAGCUAAAUCAAGAAACCCAGCAGAGCUUCUAAGAACAUUUGAGCUACACUCAGGGGCUCUACCAACACAGCUGUGAUCUGAACAUUUGUGUAGUACACUGCAUGUGGGAUGUCAAGAAGGCAAAUAACACAGCCCCUGCCUGAACUGGAGGGACUUGCACCCACAUUGUCCCGCUCAGGUAUUUUGAUAAUUUACCUAACAUUGAAUAGGUAUACCUGAAACUGAGUUGAAAUGCAGAUGGAAAACUUAA